rnacentral:lncRNA from 1 species
GUCAGGGGGAUCAGCAGAAUUAGUGGCUCACUGGAUAGCAAACUGCAAGCGCUUCUAGCCUGGAGGCAGCCCAGUUUCCUGCAUAGCACCUCAUGCAGCUGGCUGUCCACAGCACAGAACAAGCCAUGUCCCAAGGCCACAGGACUCCAGGGUGUGGAAGAGUCUGCUCUGCUCCUCCACAACCCAGCUCUUUGCCAUUUGGCAAGAGACAAUGCGCCUCUGCCUUGUUAAAUGAACAACAAAUGCAUGGCACCUCCAUGGAGCAGGGACAUGGGGCUGCACUGGUGUCCCAAGGGCUGUAUGCUUGCUGGGACAGCAAAGUUAGAGGAUGGGUACAGCCAAGGCUUUUGGGGUGGUAAGUCCAAAGGGGACAGAUGCUCCCUUGAGAUUUUUUGGCCCAUAGCCUACAGAGAAAGGCAGUCUGGGCCCAGAUCAAUCAGAUCCAUCACAACCACCAACCUCUUCUCUGUUCCUUCCUUCUUCCUCUCUCAGUUCCCAUCACUGGCCACUAAAAUAGGUCCAGAGAGUCCAUACCAGGAAGACUAGGAGAAGCAGAAAGCAUUCUGAAUGAGUGUGGAAAGGAGAGUAUUGAGGGGAUGAGGUGCAAGACUGCCACUUGCAAGAAAACAUCUCUUUGGCGUGGACUUUGAUGUUUUCCUGCUGGGCUGGGGCAGGCAGGCGGGAGCCUGGGGAUCCAGCCUGAGAGAGGUGGGCAGGGAGGACACACACGGGUUUUUUUCUAGUCCCCAAGGGUCAGGCAGGGCACAGCUCUGAAGUCUUGGUGACAGAAAUUAAAAGAAACUGCUAUUUGAACAAAUCAGGAUUAUUAGAAACCAAUAAGGAGAUAUCUUUAGUAUAUAUAAAAUGAAAAGUAUUUAAUACAUAUUUAUGUAAAUGACUUGUGAGCACAAGCCUGAGGGCAAGGUUGAUACGGGUGUCCCGGCCGCAUCCUGAGUGCGGGCCAGGGCUGUGCCUCCUGCGCCUCCUGUAUUUGUGGACAAGUCUGUGUGUUUGUCUGUAGCUAGGACCUGUGUUUCUGUGAAGCUGUGCCCAAAGAUAUCCACGCUGUAUUGUGAUGAUGAUGUGUGUUCACAGUAAAUUGAUGCUGUGGGUC